AUAUCUUGGUUCUUACUUUUGCCUCAUUCCCCUGCCCUCCCUUUACCCCCUUCACCCUUCCCUAGCAAAUGUGUUCUUGAAAGAAAUGCCGGAUGUAGGAAGUUCUUCAGGCUGAAAGGAAGUAAUGCCAGUGGAAACCAGGAUUCAGGAAAGCAAGGGCACGACAGGAAUGGUAAAUUGGUGGGGAGAAGAGACAUCAGAGAGCUGGUCAAGCUGUGGAUGAGCCACGGGUCAGGAACCCACAGCCGUGGGGCCCAGGAUUCCACCAACAAGCUAAACCUAGAAGAGGCUUCACACUCAGGAAACAGCAGUUGGCUUUGCAGCUAGAGGUGCCGUGUGGCAGAGUACUGGCCAGAGAGGGGAGGUGUGUCUUGGGGAUGGUGCUUUCCAGAGCAAAAAGAAAGGGUCUGAGGAUGCCUGUCAUCUGGAGAACGUGAAGCUGACACUUCUUAGGAGGAGGAGGCCUCUUUCCCGCGGUGAGGCGCUGCUCCUUGACAACAGAGAGUUACACUGGGAUCUCGGCAGUGUGACUCGACUCUUUGCCUGGCACUGCUGCCCUGUAAGAUGGGGAGGGUAACAACAGCACGUGUGUGCAGAAACUUGGAGAGCUUGUGACGGUUACGGUUACCCUCGGAACAGGGAUUGGAUGCUUGGAUGCAUGGCCCUUGCCUUGCAUCCGGGCACUGGGUGUGGGGAGGGGCCCCUCGGUUCCAGAACUGACAAGUGGCUGUGUGCUGCCCAGAGUCCUCGUUUAUGCUGGAUCCCCGCUUUCUGGGAGUCUGGGAAGUUGGCUGGUGAGUGUAGAUCUCAUAGCGCUGCCCUUAGGCGGAGGUGUGGAUGCCGUGUUCCGUUUAGACAAUACUUACGGGAUGG